rnacentral:rRNA from 1 species
AGUGGACGCUGGCGGUAGGCCUAACACAUGCAAGUCGAACGGCAGCACAGGAGAGCUUGCUCUCUGGGUGGCGAGUGGCGGACGGGUGAGGAAUACAUCGGAAUCUACUUUUUCGUGGGGGAUAACGUAGGGAAACUUACGCUAAUACCGCAUACGACCUACGGGUGAAAGCAGGGGACCUUCGGGCCUUGCGCGAUUGAAUGAGCCGAUGUCGGAUUAGCUAGUUGGCGGGGUAAAGGCCCACCAAGGCGACGAUCCGUAGCUGGUCUGGGAGAGUGAUCUGCCACACUAGAACUGAGCCACGGUCCAGACGCCUACGGGAGGCAGCAGUGGGGAAUAUUGGACAAUGGGCGCAAGCCUGAUCCAGCCAUACCGCGUGGGUGAAGAAGGCCUUCGGGUUGUAAAGCCCUUUUGUUGGGAAAGAAAUCCAGCUGGCUAAUACCCGGUUGGGAUGACGGUACCCAAAGAAUAAGCACCGGCUAACUUCGUGCCAGCCGCCGCCGUAA